rnacentral:tRNA from 1 species
AACUUUUAGAGGUCAGGUAGUAUGCCACUGGUCUUAGAAACCAAAAUCCU